rnacentral:rRNA from 1 species
AUGGCGCGGCCAAACCUGCGGCCGGGAAACAAGUGGUGCAGGCUCCCCCGAUACCCAACCCUGCUGCUCGUCCUCCACCAGCAGCCGCUCCGGUUCAGCCCCUUGACCCCAGCCUGGGCUAGGCCUCAACCUACAACUACAUAUUUUGGCAGUGUUGCUGCAGGGCUGGGCUUCUACCAUGUUGAUGUGCCAGUAGCUGCUGAAUUGAAAUGGUUAAAUUACAAGAACUGCGCGGUGCUGAAGAUAGUUAAGGGUGAAGUUUCUACUUCCGAGCUACUAGUUCAACUUAAUGGAAUUUUCUGCAAGAAUAAACAAUGGCCUUGGCAGAUCAGAGAGCUGGAGGAAAAGAAAUAUCUGUUGAGGUUUCCUCCGUGGAAAAAUGUGGAUGACCUGAUAAAAUUUCCUGUGUUUGAGCUGCCUAUUGAUGGGGUGUCUGUGAAGAUCUAUGAGUGGCAAGGCAUGUUAGAUGAAUUUGGUGAACUGAAAGAGGCUUGGGUUCAAGUGGAAGGGAUUCCCCCUAAAUGAAUCAAAGUGGCUUGCAGAGAUCCCAGUAAAAUUCCAUUUGCGAGGCUGAUAGAAAUGAAGAAGAAACUUUAUCUGUCGUUCUUCACUGUUGAAGGUUUUGAGCAAAUUGGGGAGGAAUCUGAUGGAGAUGAUGAUGACCCUGAUCUGAACAAUAAAGAGGAAAACAUGGAUGAUGAGAAUGGUCCUGAGAAAGACAAAAUGGAGGAUGAUGGAGACGAGGCCAUUGAUGAGCUAGAUAAAGAAAACUUCCGUCCAAAGCAAACUAGGUCCUCAAAUGGUGGCACCACUAAGAGAUUGUCUGCUUCUGCAGCUGGAUUUCACCCUGAUUGCAUGAGAGAUGAGAUACAUGACAACUUUCUGGAGGAAAUAAAAAAAAUGUUCCUGUGGGGGUGA